GUGCCAGCCGCCGCGGUAAUACAGAGGCCUCGAGCGUUAAUCGGAGUCACUGGGCUUAAAGGGUGCGUAGGCGGUUCUUCAAGUGUCUUGUGAAAUCCCACAGCUCAACUGUGGAAUUGCUCGAUAGACUGGAGAACUUGAGGUUGGUAGAGGUUACUGGAACUCUAGGUGGAGCGGUGAAAUGCCUAGAUAUCUAGAGGAACACCGAACGUGAAGACAGGUAACUGGGCCAAUUCUGACGCUGAGGCACGAAAGCGUGGGGAGCAAACGGGAUUAGAUACCCUGGUAGUCC
rnacentral:rRNA from 1 species